rnacentral:rRNA from 1 species
UACGAAGGGGGCUAGCGUUGCUCGGAAUUACUGGGCGUAAAGCGCACGUAGGCGGCUCUUUAAGUCGGGGGUGAAAUCCUGGAGCUCAACUCCAGAACUGCCUUCGAUACUGUAGAGCUUGAGUUCGGGAGAGGUGAGUGGAACUGCGAGUGUAGAGGUGAAAUUCGUAGAUAUUCGCAAGAACACCAGUGGCGAAGGCGACUACCUGGCCUGUUCUUGACGCUGAGGCGCGAAAGCUAGGGGAGCAAACAGG